UUGCAUCCGAAGCCGAUGAGGAUGAGAACCUCCGGGGGCAGAGGUUCGACCCGAGCGUAGCGAGGGAACGUUGCUUUAGCAACGGCCCGCAGGGCG
rnacentral:sRNA from 1 species